AAGAGACUGAGUCAGUUCCCACUUGUGAAUAGACAGCAUGAAGGCUUUAAACCUCUCUGAACCUGAUCAGCAUUGGCAAUGAUCUUCUGCAGAUCCAACAACAGCACAGAAGAAUGUAUCAUCAGGAACACAUUUGGAUAUUGACACAACUUCAUCUGCAGUUGGCUUGUCAUCCUGAGCUCCGUUCCCAGGCAGCGUAGAUAUUGCACAGGAUUUUGCUGACCAGGGAGUUGGGUUAUAAGUGGUAACUCCAACCUCUUAAUACUAACGACAUUGACAGUACCAUAUAAUCCAUCUAUUACACCACACAGGAAAAUCAAGCCCAGUGGUACAGGACAGAAGAACUGGCUCCAGCCAGGAUCAAGCAUUGCUUUGGCAUUGUUCCCCAAUACCUGGGCCUUUCUUCUCCAAUUGUUGGGGUAACUGGAGUGAGGAGCCUGAGGGGACCCAAAGGUGUUCUCCUGAGCCUAAGGAGGACCCAAUGGCAGGCAUCAGCACAGCUGAACACCACCUGGACCCCACUGCAGCCCUGCCCACGCAGCUCUCACGGAGCAGACACAGUCCUCAAGUAAUAAGCACAGAUGGAGGAGAAACGAGAGGCUGUGGAAGGCAGGAGAGAAAGGCCGAGAGACGAGUUUGUAAGAAUGCCAAAGUCACCUUCCCCAUUGUGGGAGGAAAAUGCCAAAGGCACUGGUUCUGCUGCCACAGGCAGUCUGAGCACCUGGAGUUGUGACGUCCUUCCAGGAGAGGUGCCACCAA
rnacentral:lncRNA from 1 species